rnacentral:rRNA from 1 species
AUUGAACGCUGGCGGCAUGCCUUACACAUGCAAGUCGAACGGUAACAGGUCUUCGGAUGCUGACGAGUGGCGAACGGGUGAGUAAUACAUCGGAACGUGCCCAGACGUGGGGGAUAACGAGGCGAAAGCUUUGCUAAUACCGCAUACGAUCUAAGGAUGAAAGCAGGGGACCGCAAGGCCUUGCGCGUUUGGAGCGGCCGAUGGCAGAUUAGGUAGUUGGUGGGAUAAAAGCUUACCAAGCCGACGAUCUGUAGCUGGUCUGAGAGGACGACCAGCCACACUGGGACUGAGACACGGCCCAGACUCCUACGGGAGGCAGCAGUGGGGAAUUUUGGACAAUGGGCGAAAGCCUGAUCCAGCAAUGCCGCGUGCAGGAUGAAGGCCUUCGGGUUGUAAACUGCUUUUGUACGGAACGAAAAGGCUCUGGCUAAUACCUGGGGCACAUGACGGUACCGUAAGAAUAAGCACCGGCUAACUACGUGC